GGUUGAUUAUAUGUAAAAAGCAAAUUUCGGAUGACAUUGGUGGAGAGUGCUUAUCUCUAAGACACAUCUACUCAUUCUUUGAAUGGAAAUCACAUCCAUGUUCUAGAAAGUCUAUUUUUACUUCAAAAAGGGGCGAGGGUUGUUCAGUGCUUUGACAUGUGUGCAACUAUUCAAGCACAAUGGUUAGAUGAUAUCCCCAUUCAUUUUAGAUUAUUACAUUGUGGUGUUCGGCUUCUUCAGUCAAGCAGCAAUCAUGCAGCAUGCCUUACUGUAGUUUUUUAUCACUGCACAUGUUGUUGGACAAAUUUAUGGACUGGAGGAUUAUAGAGGACUAACAAGUGCUACUGGGAGAUUCUCGAGCACCAUUGAACUAAGAGAUUCCAAAUAGUUCUUUGGAGUCUAUUGUUGAUGUUGGCGGGGAUAAUCUAGCAGAGAUUUGUCAGAUUUUUUGUGCAACAUGGGGGCUACAUGAGGCAGCAACGAUCCCAUUCUUCUCGCAUGCCACUUUACACAAGCUAAGGAUAGCUUCUGGUCUCACUCAUGGUUGUGGCAGGGAAAAGCCGAGUCAGUAGGGUUUGUCAUGUAGCUGGAGUUAUCUCAGACCACAUAUUAGAUGCAGUGAUGACGUUAAUGGAGGAUGUUUACAUUUACCGUGCAAGCAAGAUGACUUAUAUUAUGCCUUAGGACAAUAAGUAUUGUUUUCACUCUAAUGAAAUACUUGGUAAAAAGU